rnacentral:rRNA from 1 species
GAUGAACGCUGACAGAAUGCUUAACACAUGCAAGUCUACUUGAAUUUGGGUUUUUUAACUUAGAUUUGGGUGGCGGACGGGUGAGUAACGCGUAAAGAACUUGCCUCACAGCUAGGGACAACAUUUGGAAACGAAUGCUAAUACCUGAUAUUAUGAUUAUAAGGCAUCUUAGAAUUAUGAGAGCUAUAUGCACUGUGAGAGAGCUUUGCGUCCCAUUAGCUAGUUGGAGAGGUAACGGCUCACCAAGGCGAUGAUGGGUAGCCGGCCUGAGAGGGUGAACGGCCACAAGGGGACUGAGACACGGCCCUUACUCCUACGGGAGGCAGCAGUGGGGAAUAUUGGACAAUGGACCAAGAGUCUGAUCCAGCAAUUCUGUGUGCACGAUGACGUUUUUCGGAAUGUAAAGUGCUUUCAGUUGGGAAGAAAAAAAUGACGGUACCAACAGAAGAAGUGACGGCUAAAUC